AGGGGCAGCGGGAUUGAAGCUUGCUUCAAUUGCCGGCGACCGGCGCACGGGUGAGUAACGCGUAUCCAACCUUCUGUACACUCAGGGAUAGCCUUUCGAAAGAAAGAUUAAUACCUGAUAGUAUGGUGAGAUUUCAUGAUAGCACCAUUAAAGAUUUAUUGGUAAACGAUGGGGAUGCGUUCCAUUAGGUAGUAGGCGGGGUAACGGCCCACCUAGCCGACGAUGGAUAGGGGUUCUGAGAGGAAGGUCCCCACAUUGGAACUGAGACACGGCCCAGACUCC
rnacentral:rRNA from 1 species